rnacentral:rRNA from 3 species
UACGUAGGUGGCAAGCGUUGUCCGGAUUUACUGGGUGUAAAGGGCGUGUAGGCGGGAUUGCAAGUCAGGCGUGAAAACCAGGGGCUCAACCUCUGGCCUGCGUUUGAAACUGUAGUUCUUGAGUACUGGAGAGGUUGACGGAAUUCCUAGUGUAGCGGUGAAAUGCGUAGAUAUUAGGAGGAACACCAGUGGCGAAGGCGGUCAACUGGACAGCAACUGACGCUGAGGCGCGAAAGCGUGGGGAGCAAACAGG